rnacentral:tRNA from 1 species
GGGGCGUUAGCUCAGUUGGUAGAGCAGCGGACUUUUAAUCCGUUGGUCGUAGGUUCGAAUCCUACACGCCCUACCA